GAAAAAUAAUAAUUGAAGCUGCUAACUUUGAUUUGGGGUUAUUCUCCAUUUUUCU
rnacentral:tRNA from 1 species